rfam:Ixodes scapularis strain Wikel colony gcontig_1108378890976, whole genome shotgun sequence.
AAAAUCCAGCCUACGUAAAGAAUAGCCAACAGCGUAGAACCUAACUUGAUACAGCAUGAGGUAACAAGGGUUGUAAAGCUCAAGUGGGGGACAAAGCAGACCGCAACGAAAGUGAAUGGAUUGAGCUCCGUAAAGGACGAAAUUAUAGAGGCCGACAUCUUUGGCGGUAUGGAAGGCACAACUGUCGAAAGUUAAAAAUUC